rnacentral:rRNA from 1 species
AUGAACGCUGGCGGCGUGCCUAAUACAUGCAAGUCGAGCGAACAGACGAGGAGCUUGCUCCUCUGACGUUAGCGGCGGACGGGUGAGUAACACGUGGAUAACCUACCUAUAAGACUGGGAUAACUUCGGGAAACCGGAGCUAAUACCGGAUAAUAUAUUGAACCGCAUGGUUCAAUAGUGAAAGACGGUUUUGCUGUCACUUAUAGAUGGAUCCGCGCCGCAUUAGCUAGUUGGUAAGGUAACGGCUUACCAAGGCAACGAUGCGUAGCCGACCUGAGAGGGUGAUCGGCCACACUGGAACUGAGACACGGUCCAGACUCCUACGGGAGGCAGCAGUAGGGAAUCUUCCGCAAUGGGCGAAAGCCUGACGGAGCAACGCCGCGUGAGUGAUGAAGGUCUUCGGAUCGUAAAACUCUGUUAUUAGGGAAGAACAAAUGUGUAAGCAACUAUGCACGUCUUGACGGUACCUAAUCAGAAAGCCACGGCUAACUACGUG